CGAGACAUCCCUGCCCAUACACGACCUCUCUGUAUCCAAGCGUCGAGCGCCGCCGGCUUCUCCUCCUUUUCCCCAAUUUUUCUCUCUUUCCCAACACAUCGUUGUCGGUCGGGUCGCCCAACCCAAUUCUUCUUCCUCACACAACGGUGCCAAGCGAGGCCAUAGCACAGCCACGCGUGGGCUGCAGCUUCUGGUGGUGCUCGGCGGAGGAUUCCUGGCCGCCGUCGAGGAUGGCGGAGGAGGAAGAAGAAGAGGUCAUAGAUUGGUGGCCAUCCAGGGCACCCGUUGAUACUUGACAGUGGUGGCGAUGGCGUCGACGAUUCCCAUUCCGGUGACUGGGACAAUGGCCGGCUCAGACUCUCCCCACCACCCGAGCUCCUACCUGCCAGCAUCGGAGCUCCUCCGAUCCCCAUACUAUCACCGCGUUGGGGUAGGCACCGGGGCAGUAGGUAAGAGGCAGCAGCCAGCGCUGUUUGGUCUACGAGGUAGAGGCGGCGGGGAACGGCGGCCGGCAGCGAGGCCAGCCGGGCGCGUCGAGCUGCGGCUAUGGCUGGAGCGGAGGGGAGUUCUAGCGCCGAAGGAGGGGAGUUCUAGCGCCGAAGGAGAGCAGCGGGGAGGAACGAAGCCGGCGAGGAGGUGGUGACGGCAGAAGGAGCGAUGCGCCCGGCAUCAGGAAUCCUCAAUCCGUUGAAGCCUCUGCUCAAGUCACUCCCUCCUCCCAUCAUCUUCUCUCAUGCCAGGCGGAGGCGCAAUCGCUUUCAACCUCGACGAGAUUCGGUGGCAGGGGCAUUCACCUAUAUUUAUCUGAUUAGCAAAGAUUCUGAGAAAUUUUGUUGUACAUAUACUCAUACAUCUCACAUCCAGGAUCCAGCCCACGCCCGCACGUCCGAGCGCACUCACGCGCGGCAGCCCUAGCCUAGGCCCCAUGCGAUUGCGGCGGCGCCGGCGGGAAGCAUUCAAGCGGAGCAGGAGAGCAGCAGCUAGCGGAGCAGGCGCUUGUGGCGGCGACCGGCGGGCGGGCGUCCAGGCGAGCAGCGGCCAGCUGCGACCAGCUAGCAGUGCAGGCGACGGGAACGGCCAGACUUCUAGCUCUCUUCUUUUGACCUGUCACGUUGUCGGAUGGCGUCUCAAUUGGUACAAAAUAAUCUGUGAGAACUUGCAGAGCAAACUGCAGAGAUACUAAGGUUAUGAACAUGACAGUGGUCAUUGCUACCAUGCUUCCGCCGAUCUUUUUAUGUGCUGAUUAAGUAAAAAUUGGUACUUCUGUAUUGGCUGGCGAGCCAUGAACAACUAAGCUAACAAGUGGCAUAGUUGACUAUUAGGUACUAAUUUCCAAUUAUAGUUUCUGUCCAAGUUGAAGUUUGAGAUGCACUUCUACGUAUGUUAGAUCAGCUCCGUGCUGAAAGCGAAGGAAAAAAAGGGAUUCAAGGAAUGUGUCAUCCUACGCUUCCAGGUGAUGCCUAAGUUGUUCAGAAAAUUAAUUUUGCGAUGUAAGAUUUCUCAUGCUCAUUACUUAACAUUGGCACUAUUAUUCUCUGUGUUGGCAAUAUUUUUCGAGAACCCGCAACUUCCAAUGAUUAUUGUUGAACAGGCAUGCCAUAUAUUUUAGGCUGAUACUUAUGUAAUGCAAAAUGGAAGUAGAUUGGGAAAACAGAAAGUGUGAUUUUGUACAGCACCUUCUCUUAUGUUCCAUAUAUACAACGGAGUUCUCCCUAAAUCAUGCAGAUAGAUUGUUCUCAAUUAAGAAGCUACAGCCUGUAGGAGAUGGUGCAUUCUCACUAUGUACUUUAUCAGGGAUGAAAGUUCGAGGCUUAUUAUGUAAAUAUCAAAAUGUAUAUUGAGAAGAUAAUACAUGCAUUUCAGUUAGAAGUAAUGUAGAAUAGAAUCUACACAUAUACUUAACUCAGCACAUGAAUAGCCUUACCCUGUUGUUAGCUGUCUCAGUCAGGAGUAAUGCAGAUUAGAAUCUAUAUCCUCUGUAAUGCAGCUCUGUCCAUGUAUCAACGCCGUCUAGCUCCGCCAGUGGAAACAUAUAUUGCCGUUUCGCCAUGUAAUUCAUCGUGAACAUAUUUACUAGCGCUGCAACUUUAUUAGUAUCAUCCCCUACAUUGCUAAUCUCACAUUACAUGUACUGAAUAUUCAGGCCAACAAAUCAGCAAAUAUGCACUCAGAAAAAUAAUUAACACUAGCUAUGCAUGACUAAAAGUACCAUAAUGGACAUGGAAAACAAAAAAUAGGCAGCCAUGUUGAUUGUGUGCACACUGUGAUGAUAUAUAUAUAUAUCCAUUCUCUGUCCAUUUUGUGUGCUCCUUUAUAUUUAAACUUUAAUAAAUCCUUGCACCUACAUUGUGUAACAACCCAUAGAUAUUUGCUUUCAACCAUACUCAUACUGUCAUACACCGAUAUUCAUUUGGGGAUUUCUUUAUAUACACUACAGCCUACUCUCACAUGUAAGUAUUUUCUUGAUGCAGAGCAAUCUACAGGAUAUUUUCUACAGCAAACAAAUUUAAGAAGUGGAAGCCAUCGAGAAAAUGAAGUGUCAACUAUGCCUGCUCAUAGGUUGUUAAAUUCUGCGAGAUUUGAGGUUCUGGAGCCAUGGAAUGCUGGUAUCAUCCAAUGAGGACACACAAACAUGCUCAAGACGGCUGGUCUCAUUCUCUACAUAGAUUCUACAUAAUUUCAAAUUGUGGAUCUUCUUUUUAGAAGAAUUGUGGAUCUUUCUAUGAAUAUUUGUUGUAUUCCUUUUGCUCAUGUUCUUCUUUUAAGUGAGUAAUUUUCAAGGGUGAAAAGUGUGGUGUCAAGGGAUUUCCUUUGCUCGGGCUUUCUCAUCAUCAUUGGAUUCUUAUGUUUUGUAUCCUUUGUUAUAUAGAGAGGAAAGGGCAAGUGACAUUUAUUCA